GAUGAACGCUAGCUACAGGCUUAACACAUGCAAGUCGAGGGGCAGCAUUUUAGUUUGCUUGCAAACUAAAGAUGGCGACCGGCGCACGGGUGAGUAACACGUAUCCAACCUGCCGAUAACUCGGGGAUAGCCUUUCGAAAGAAAGAUUAAUAUCCGAUAGUAUAUUAAAACCGCAUGGUUUUACUAUUAAAGAAUUUCGGUUAUCGAUGGGGAUGCGUUCCAUUAGUUUGUUGGCGGGGUAAACGGCCCACCAAGACUACGAUGGAUAGGGGUUCUGAGAGGAAGGUCCCCCACAUUGGAACUGAGACACGGGUCCAAAACUCCUACGGGAGGCAGCAGUGAGGAAUAUUGGUCAAAUGGGCGAGAGCCUGAACCAGCCAAGUAGCGUGAAGGAUGAAGGUCCUACGGAUUGUAAAACUUCUUUUAUACGGGAAUAAAAGUUUCCUACGUGUAGGAUUUUGUAUGUACCCGUAUGAA
rnacentral:rRNA from 1 species